rnacentral:rRNA from 1 species
CCUACGGGAGGCAGCAGUCGAGAAUCAUUCACAAUGGGGGAAACCCUGAUGGUGCGACGCCGCGUGGGGGAAUGAAGGUCUUCGGAUUGUAAACCCCUGUCAUGUGGGAGCAAAUUAAAAAGAUAGUACCACAAGAGGAAGAGCCGGCUAACUCUGUGCCAGCAGCCGCGGUAAUACAGAGGUUUCAAGCGUUGUUCGGAAUCACUGGGCGUAAAGGGUGCGUAGGCUGUUUGGUAAGUCGUGUGUGAAAGGCGCGGGCUCAACCCGCGGACGGCACAUGAUACUGCGAGACUAGAGUAAUGGAGGGGGAACCGGAAUUCUCGGUGUAGCAGUGAAAUGCGUAGAUAUCGAGAGGAACACUCGUGGCGAAGGCGGGUUCCUGGACAUUAACUGACGCUGAGGCACGAAGGCCAGGGGAGCGAAAGGGAUUAGAUACCCGGGUAGUC